AAAAAAGCAAUGAUAGAGAGAGUAGGCUUUUGGAUAUUCUACAGAGAGUUGGAUAAGCUGAGAACCAACGUAUUGAAUAAAGUUGAAAAUCACUCUGGAGCUGCAGGCUGAAAGAUUUUAAUCAAUUAAGCUAUGCCGGUUAGUGUCGUUAAACUAUAGAGUGUUAUAUAUACUACAAGUAUAUAUAGAAUUAGGGUGGUAACGCGAUUUCAACUCGUCCCUUUU
rnacentral:ncRNA from 1 species